rnacentral:piRNA from 1 species
UCCAGAAAAGCCACGUUAUUUAACAGAAC